UACGUACUUCCUCCGUCCGAAAAUACUUGUCCUCGAAAUGAUUGUAUCUAGACUUUUUUAGUUACAGAUACAUUCAUUUUAUCCAUUUGUAGGAUAAGUAUUUCCGGACGGAGGGAGUACGUG
rfam:Triticum aestivum genome assembly, contig: Triticum_aestivum_CS42_TGACv1_scaffold_423748_5BS